CUGCAGUGAAGGGCCCGAGACAUCUGAUGUUUCUGCAGGUUUUCUGCUGGUUUCUUGCUCCUUGUUCUUGUAUCCGGUGCUGGGUGCUCCCCUUGCCACAGAGGUCAUGGAGAGCCUGGUGUAGGAACGGGACUGUGCCCCUUGGGCCGUGCAGGGGUUUGUGUUGGUGAACAUUGUCUGUGUGGGUAACAGAAAGGACUCUCCUGCUUACUGCCCUAGGAGCCAGAGCAUCUGUGGCAUUUCUUUAGUCUUCAGUAAAGAUCUUCAGUGAGUUACCAACCAUGGGAGUCAGGAUAUGAGCAGCCUCCAAAGUCUGUAAAGAAAGAAGUAAAGGAGCUGUUGGGCCAUCAGAGUGGAUGUCAGUGUCAGCCACGGGGAGAUGCAAUAAUGCUCUCACUGUUGGAAGAGUCACCUCCAUUCAGGUUUGUAUGUGAGGUUGAGAGGAGUCACCUUGUGUAUCUCAUUAUCUUACCCUGGCUGGAAUAUCUGCUAGGAGGCAGAAGAGCCCUCCCAGGCACAUCACCUGCUGAAUUCAACAAACACUUGUCAAAAACAAAGAUUGACCAGAAAUAUUGUCACUUAUAAAAGCAUUCUUUUAUACUAACUAUAGUAAAAAUAGCCAUAUAUAAAAGGGAAUCAAACCUUUGGACAGUGCUGUUUCAAUAGAGGCCUUCAAAAAAAACCACUUCCUAUGUGAUGAAAGAGAAAUGCUCAAAAAUCCCUACAGGAAUACCUACAAUUCCUUAUGGAUACCUAAUGAAAAUAUAUUAGAAUUGAGCAAGUAGCAAAAAAAGCUUGAUGAACUGACUGUAACAAAAUAUCCAGUGAUGAAAAGCUCUGCAGACUUUUCUUGCCAGCUCUGGCAAGUAAGUAGUUUUGCUAAAUAGAAGGAAAGCAGAAGAUACAGCUAUCAACUGCAAACGAAUGAUUAUAAACCAGAAAGAAAAUGUGAGGAAGAGCUCUGAAAAUUAUGAUUGACAGUGACAACACAGACCAGACAGCUUUUAUUUUAAGCAACAGAUUGUUGGGAACAUACACCGUAUAUCAAAGUGAAGGACUUGAAACCUGCUGUAGUCUGUACAGAUGUUCUCACUCAGAAAGCAGCUAGAGGGAACAGAAGAUAAAAGAAGGCUGUCCAACUUCAAAAAAGGUUUGAAUUUUCAUUCUGUUUUGACAAGUUUUUAUGCUAGUCUCUGAUUUUUAGUGUGGCAGAAAAUUCAGCAUCUACAAACCUGACCUAAAGUGAGAAACACCUGAAGGGGUACAAGCAAACCCUUAAGAAGGUGCUAUACAACAUCAUGAAAUAGUUUUUGUUGUUUUAAACUUAAAUGCUUUUAUACAAAAAUUGGAAAUGCUGUAACUGUUGUAGCUCUGGAGCAGGUCAUAGGUGCUUGCAGUCAGCAGUACCUGGAAUGCAAGGCUGAGAUCUAAGAGGCCAUUUAGGAAUCCCUGCUGCAGAAAAUACUUUUUUAUGAUACAAAGCAAGGCAGGAUUACUGAGCUCAGAAGGGUUAUUUGUGAAUAACUUCCAGCUAAAGUGAUUAAGGGCUUCAGCCACUAGCCCCAGAAAAAAACAACAAAGAGCAUCAAAAACAUCCUGCAUGUCACUGCUGCUGGCUUUUUGUUCAAUGAGCAAGAGGUCUGUGUUGGUUUUGGUCCUUUGCCCUUGGGGGCACUUUUAACAAAACAUAAUACUUGAAAGAAUUCCAAAAUGUGUUUGUUUUUUUUUAUUUUCUUUGAACUAGAAGGUUAAAGAUAAAUAAAGGAGUAUUUUGAUAGGUCUGAAAAAUACUU
ensembl:lncRNA